CAGCACGGGGGCAGCAGGUUGCCUUUUUUACCAGAACUGCACUUCGAACGUCGUGCGUUUUUCACAUGAAUUGAAAUUGAAAACUGUUUUUAACAAUUAAUUUAGCUCCUAUUUAAAUAUGAAUUCCUCUCAGAAACGUUACCAAUAUUAUCUGCUUUACCAAUGCUUAUCUGAGCUUCAAGAUAUCCAAAAUUUUCUGGGUGGGGGCAUGCCCCCAAACCCCUCUAGAGGCUCCCAUCUUUGGUGGUCGACUCGGUUGUCUCCGAAUCCUAGGUAUGGCCUGAUUUGCUGCCCCAUGGCGCAUACUUAUAUGUUAGUUAAACCAUGCAUAUAUAUGCUGCAGGUAGCUGCAGCGACAC